GCCUCCUUCGGGACACGUGCACAGGUGCUGCAUGGCUGUCGUCAGCUCGUGUCGUGAGAUGUUGGGUUAAGUCCCGCAACGAGCGCAACCCUUGCCCCGUGUUGCCAACAGGUAAAGCUGGGAACUCUCGGGGGACUGCCGGCGUCAAGCCGGAGGAAGGUGGGGACGACGUCAAGUCAUCAUGGCCCUUACGCCCAGGGCUACACACGUGCUACAAUGGCAGGGACAGAGGGCUGCAAGAGCGCGAGCUGGAGCGAAUCCCACAAACCCUGUCUAAGUUCGGAUUGCAGGCUGCAACUCGCCUGCAUGAAGCCGGAAUCGCUAGUAAUCGCGGAUCAGCUACGCCGCGGUGAAUACGUUCCCGGGCCUUGUACACACCGCCCGUCACGCCAUGGAAGCCGGGAGUGCCCAAAGUCCGUGUCCUAACCGCAAGGAGGGAGCGGCCCAAGGCAAGCUCGGUGACUGGGGCGAAGUCGUAACAAGGUAGCCGUAGGGGAACC
rnacentral:rRNA from 1 species